AUGCUGGAGUCACCUGCUAUACCACAAUGCCAGCCCCAAGAGCAGUAUUUUAAGAACCUGGGAUAUAUCUCCCAAGUGACUCCACGCAUCCAUGAGCUUUAUGAGGUAAUAACCCAACUUAAGAACUUCCAAGUAGCCAGAGAUCUCAGACAGAGGAAGAUGCUCCCCACCACCAAAGGAGGGCAAGGAGGAGAUGGGGGGGGGGGCAGGGGUUGGGAAAUGUUUUCUGCUAUCAACAAGAGGCAGGAGCUGAUGGCAACAAAGGCCCAUUCCAGUUCCAUUGGUGUGUUCUGGAAGCCCAAGAUCCAUCUGACACUUUGCUGUGAGGCAGGUGCACCGAAAUAUCUUCCUUGGUCCCAAACAAAAUGGGACAUUUUGCAAGCAUGAUGCUUCCGGAUGCAGCGUCUGGAAAACCCUAACAGGGAGUUAAGUCACAUGCCAGAUACUCUGUGAGGACUCACCAGCAUCUCAUUAUAUGUAAAAAUGACCCAUAAGCCAGGUAUGCUUAUCACCAUCUUCCCUAUUUCACAGAUGAACAAACAGCAACUGAGAAAUACUGUGACUCACCCAAAGCUACACAGCUAAUUAGUAACCAAACAGAAUCUUGAGCCCAGCCUAGCAGAACCAAAAACCCAGCCACAUCGCCCCAAAUUGUAGGUGCUGUGCAGCCGGGCCAAGGACUAUGCUUGGAGUAGGAGGCAGUACUCUAUUGUGCCUCUCAGUAGCAUGCAUCAGAUUAUUUAGCCCCUACAACAAGCCCGGCAUUUCAUAACAUGCUAUUCAGACCUAUCUGAUUUAAUUCCCACUACCAUCCGAGCAGGUGGAUGCUAUGAUAAUUCCCAUUUGAAGAAGGGAAACCUGAGGCAUCAUAAGCUGACGUGCUAGCCAAAAUGAAGACAGCUCCAACAGACGGAGGCAGAAGCCUUACCCACAUCUGGCCAGUCCCCUAACUGAUUUCUUUAACCUUCACCAGGUUGUUAAGAUAUAUCUGUCCCCAGACACCCUGCCAGGUUUACGUAUAAUGCAGUCAUUCAUGGAUCAAGGAAUGAAAUAUUCUCCAAGAAAAUUAGGAGGUCACAGCCAACUGAGACUACAGAAGAAAUAUUGCUGCAAACUGUGGUGCCAUCCUGUGCUUCCGAUAAUUCUCUUAAGAGAAGAUGCAUUAUGUUAGUUUAUCAUUUUAAAUAAAUUCUCCACGAGCUAUUUACCUGUCA
rnacentral:lncRNA from 1 species